CGAGGACCAAGGGCUUCAAAGAUUAAGGGCAAGACGACUGAACAGAGCUCUCAAUUUGGUAAUGGCAAAGAUGAUUCAUCUAGCUCUCAAUUUCAGCUAGAUUUGUACAAUAGGCCAGAUUUUGUCUCUGAUUAUGAGAAUGCCAAGUUCUUUGUAAUAAAAUCUUUCAGUGAAGACAAUGUCCAUAAAAGCAUUAAGUACAGUGUGUGGGCCAGCACGCCGCAUGGAAAUAAAAAACUAGAUGCUGCAUAUCACGAGGCAAAGGAGAAUGGAAGCAACUGUCCGGUCUUUCUGUUGUUUUCGGUCAAUGCUAGUGGGCAGUUCUGCGGGAUAGCUCAAAUGGUUGGACCUGUCGAUUUUGACAAAGAUGCUGAUUACUGGCAACAAGACAGAUGGAGUGGUCAGUUCCCAGUUCAGUGGCAUAUUAUCAAAGAUGUUCCUAACCGUCAAUUCCGACACAUACUACUAAAAAAUAAUGAUAACAAGCCUGUCACUCAUAGUCGGGAUGCUCAGGAGGUGAAACUGGAACAAGGUAUUGAAAUGUUGAGAAUUUUCAAGGAACACUCUGUGCACACAUCUAUUCUAGAUGAUUUUGGUUUUUACAAUCAGCGGGAGAAAGCUUUAAAGGAAAGGAGGGCCAAACAAGCAGCAAAUCUGACUGCAGAUACUUCAUGUCUACUUGCUGAUGAUACUGUAAAUCAAAUAUCUGGUAGUUUUGCCCAAAAUCUCCACUUGGAAGAUGGUAGUAAAGAAACAUCAGCAAUGGUAGCGAAUUGUAGCUCAACUCCUGAUUGUGGAGUUUAAUCUACUAAUGAUCUGAACACUGAGCUUUCAUUUGUUGAGAAUUCCAUUAGUCAUAGCUUGUCAAAAACUUUGAAUUUAGAAGAGGGCAACAAGGUUCUGGCUCCCGCUUUGGAUGGUAAGCACGAGGGUUAAGGCUGUCGAUAAGCGGACCACAGGUUGUAUUAACAGAGUGGAGUUGGCUUGUAGUUGAUGCUUCUGUGCCAGAUGUUGGGAGGUUGGUCAGGCCAGGAAGUCAACAGUUUUAGUAUCUCACUAAUUUGGUAUUAAAUGUUUGAUUUUCUUUGGAUUUCUUUUUCGGAUGCUAAAACUGGCUGCAGAAUGUGGGGGUAGAUUGCAUACUAUUGUGCUUGAUGCCUAAUUUGGAUGUAAUUUUAGGUUCUGUAGUUUUCUCAGGACUCUUGGCUAGUGGAAAAGAUUUGUAGAGUUGCCCCCUUUUUGGGUAACAAAAUUAUAAUAAUUAAAAGGAGAA
rnacentral:misc_RNA from 1 species